rnacentral:rRNA from 1 species
UACGUAGGGUGCGAGCGUUAAUCGGAAUUACUGGGCGUAAAGCGUGCGCAGGCGGUUCGUUGUGUCGGUGGUGAAAUCCCCGGGCUUAACCUGGGAAUGGCCAUGGAAACUGGCGAACUGGAGUGUGGCAGAGGGGGUGGAAUUCCGCGUGUAGCAGUGAAAUGCGUAGAGAUGCGGAGGAACACCGAUGGCGAAGGCAGCCCCCUGGGCUAACACUGACGCUCAGGCACGAAAGCGUGGGGAGCAAACAGG